rnacentral:lncRNA from 1 species
UCUCCAUCCAGUGCGCCUCCAUAGCCCAGUACGUCCGGUGCCUGCUCCUCGCACUCUCCCUCCAGUGCGCCUCCACGGUCCAGUAUACCCCGUGCCAGUUCUGCGCACCCGGUCCUCAGUGCGUCUCUCCAGUCCGGUGAGACCUGUUCCAGCUCCAUGAGAAAAAGCCUCCAGUGAUGAUCUAUGGCCCGGAGCCUGUAGGGAUGUUCCAUGGCAUGAAGCCUCCAGAGGUAAUCCAUGGCCCGGAGCCUGUAGGGAUAAUCCAUGGCAAGAAGCCUGUAGGGAUUAUCCAUGGUCCGGAGCCUGUAGGGAUAAUCCAUGGCAAGAAGCCUCUAGGGAUGAUCCAUGGCCCAGAGCCUGUAGAGAUGAUCCAUGGCACGAAGCCUCCAGUGAUGAUCCAUGGCGCGGAACCUGUAUUGAUGAUCCAUGGCAUGGAGCCUGCAGCAACGGUCCCUUGUCCGGAACCUACAACGACGCUCUCCAGUCCGGAUCCUCCAGCGACGCUCCCCAGUGUUGAGCCUCCGGCGACGCUGCUCAGUCCGCAGCCUCCAGCGACGCUCCUCAGCCCAGAGUCUUCAGCGACGGUCUGCAGUCCAGAGUCUUCAGCGACGGUCUGCAGCCCAGAAUCUUCAGCGGCGGUCUGCAGCCCAGAAUCUUCAGCGGCGGUCUGCAGCCCAGAGUCUUCAACUGCAGUCUGCAGCCCAGAGUCUUCAACUGCGGUCUGCAACCCAGAGUCUUCAGCGGCAGUCUGCAGCCCAGAGUCUUCAGCGGCGGUCUGCAGCCCAGAGUCUUCAGCGGCGGCCUUCAGCCCAGAGUCUUCAGCGGCGGUUGGCGUUUCAAAGCCUCCGGCGAUGAUCCACGGUCUGGUUCCUCCGGACACACAGAAGCGGGGGGAUCAGCGGGCGGUGGGGGUGCUACGCCCUAAAUCAGAGCCGCCACCAAGGACAGAUGCCCACCCGGACCUGCCCCUAUAGGUUCAGGUUUGCGGCCAGGAGUCCGCACCUUCGGGGGGGGGGGGUACUGUCACGCUCUGACCUAAGAGAGCUGUUUUUUCUCUGUUUAGUUAGGUCAGGGUGUGAUAGGGGGUGGGCAUUCUAUGUGUGUUGGUUCUAUGUUUUGGCCGGGUAUGGUUUCCAAUCAGAGGCAGCUGUCUAUCGUUGUCUCUGAUUGGAAGCCAUACUUAGGCAGCCUUUUCCCACUUGGUUUUCGUGGGUAGUUGUUUUCUGUUUCGUUUAGGUAACCUGACAGAACUGUUGGCUGUCGUUUUGUUUCUUUGUCUAAGUGUUUCAUUUCAUUAAACUUAAAUAUGAGCACUCAACACGCUGAGCCUUGGUCCCCUCUAUACGACGCCCGUUACAAUUACAGGGACUCUCCGCAACUAUAUUCAAUGUGCGGGACAAAAUUGAGGCUAUAAAUAAAAAGCUGGAGGUCUUCUCUGUCUGCAUUAACAAGGACAACACACAGGUCUUUCCAUCAUUGUAUGAUAUUUUGUGUGCAAAUGAAUUCAAGCUUACGGACAAUGUCAAAUGUGAUAUAGCAAAGCACCUGAGUGAGCUAGGUGUGCAAUUAUGCAGGUACUUUCCCCAAAUGGACGACACAUGCAACUGGAUUCAUUAUCCCUUUCAUUCCCAGCCUCCAGCCUCCAGACCACUUACCAAUAUCUGAACAAGAGAGCCUGUAUUGUAUUUAAUCAGAAGCCACUGUCAGAUUUCUAUUUAGGGCUGUGCUCAGAGUAUCCUGCCUUGGCAAAUCGCGCUGUUAAGACACUGAUGCCCUUUGCAACCACAUACCUAUGUGAGAGUGGAUUCUCGGCCCUCACUAGCAUGAAAACUAAAUACAGGCACAGACUGUGUGUGGAAAAUGAUUUAAGACUGAGACUUUCCAAUACAACCCAACAUUGCAGAGGUAUGUGCAUCCUUUCAAGCACACCCUUCUCAUUAACCUGUGGUGAGUUAUUCACCAUUCUUGAUAAACAAAUAGGGUUUUAAAUGUAAGAUGGCUAAAUAAAGUGAAAAAUUAUUGAUUAUUAUUAUAUUAUUAUUUGUGCCCUGGUCCUAUAAGAGCUCUUUGUCACUUCCCACGAGCCGGGUUGUGACAAAAACUCACACUCAUUAUUAUGUUUAAUAAAUGUAUCGUAUAGUGUGUGUGUGGCAGGCUUACAAUGAUGGCAAAAAAAACAUUUGAGAGUGCACUGAACCUGGUGCUAGAGGGGGUACGCAGCUGGAGGUUGAAUGUUUGAAGGGGUACGGGACUAUAAAACGUUUGGGAACCACGGCUGUAGAUGAUUCAUAUGUUUUUGAGUGUUUAACCUCUCACUGUUGGGUGGUUCACUGGCCUAUGUCCUAUGGGCCUCUCUAACUCUGGAUCUUGGAUGGCCUGGCUACCCAUCCACAUCGCUCUGGCCAAACGCCACGCCCAUUGUCGUUUAUUUUCCAGUGCCACGAUGAGUCUGGAUUUGCUUCCUCCCCGACUACUUCUCGAAUGCGAACACAUUUAAACUGUUCUGAUUGGUCCCAGAAACCGAUGGGUUGGACCUAUACGAAUCAUCAAUCACGUAAUUUUGACAUCAGCACAAACUACUUUUAGGAUAACCGGUUCAGACUGAUGUAUGGAGUGAUUGAUAGAGCACCGGAAUUAAAUUCAGAAUGAGUCGUCAGGCAAGGUCUUGGCACAUUACCUCUCAGUUUGAACAUGUUGCGCUUUUGUGUUUCUUGUUAUAACCUCCUUUUCAUUUUCAGUCAUUUUAUGUGGCUUUAACUGUUGUUAUUUUAUGGCCUUUGAGUUAUGAGGGUGUGGUGUAGGCUAGGCCAAUGUGUACUAAACUAACUCAACCAUUGUACAGCAAAUAAACACAAAGGAAAAUUAAGAACAUCAUUCUUAAUUUGGAGAGCUGACAAGGCAAGAAAUGAGAGCAGUGCUAAGACCUAGUACAGCGUUCUUCAUUAGGUUUGCUGUCCUCCACUCACACAACAAAACAGAUUGUGAUUGUUGGACUGACACAGCGUGUAGGAUUAGAAGUGAUGUAUUUAUGGAUUUUAAUAGGAUCCGGGGCCGUAUUCAUAAAGCUUCUUAGAGUAGGAGUGCUGUUCUAGGGUUCAGUGUAGCCUUUUAGAUCAUAAUGAAUAAGAUUAUAUUGACAUGGGGGACUUGAUCCUAGACUGGCACUCCUACGCUGAGAUGCUUGACGCAUACGACCCCAGGUCUGUGAAAUGCCACCCUUUUCACCUGUUAUUGAACCUAAGAUUGAACAGCAUACAGUAGAUGUCAGCUGAAUGUAAAGAGAACAAUUCAGACAUCCAGUUACUGUGAGCUACAGUUUAAGUGAAAGAAUAGUAUUGAGUUAUUUCAUUUAUACAAGGUUGGUACUUUGUUUUUAUGUUGUUUCUGGUUUUGUGUAUUGUUAUUGUUAGGCCUGCAGAUUUAUCUCUGAAUAUUUACCAAAGUUUGGUUUUGCUGUCAUCGGGGCAGAUUAAUGAUUCUUUUGGUUCAGUUACUUGCCAAUGUGGUUUGUUGCUGUAGUCUUGGCUUGGUACGGGAAACCAAACUCAACAUAAUGUCAAAUUUAACAUCUAGAUUAGGUUUUUGGUCGACCAAUACACAGACUAAUAAAGAUGAUAUAUGUUACAGUAUAUUAUUUUCUGCUAUACAAUUGCUUUCACACCUUUACCUGCCUUUCCAGAUUCAAAGCAUGUCCAUCAUUAGGACUACCAGGGAAUUGGGUCGGUCUAAUGUCUUCUCAACCAUGAGAUGAAGAAAUAUAAUUGUCAUGAGCCUAUAGUGGAAGGAUAUCACCUGGUUGACUAUCAGUCUCUAUCAGAGUGAGAAAGAGAUUGCAUCCCCUCCAAUAUUGUACUUCCACCCUCUAGUUAUAUUUCCAUUAUAUUUCCACCUUAUCUAGCUCCUGGAUGUGUGGGACUUAAUUUCUAGAUCUCAAAGAGCAUUUCAGGUUAUCUGCAACAGUCCUCUCAACCUUCCCUGAGAAGCAGUUUUGCAGUGGGCUUUAGGAAUUGUAUAUGUUCUUUGAUCAUAACAUUUUAUUGAAGUAUUGUGUUAUGCACACAUAUCUGGGAAUAAGAAAUCUUUCUCUCUUAGACGAGCAGUGGGUAUUGCAGAAUGAGUGGACAUGCUCGGAAUCAGAAAUGCUUACAGGGAUCAGUGAGAGAACGUGGCAAUUCUCUAGCGGUACUAAUGGCGAAUUCUUGACAGCAGAUAUGUCUUUUGUCCUAUCUGCAUCAAGGUCGCCGUGGCAAUUACCUCGGCGCGGAAAACUGCCUUAAAUAUACAACAAAUCACCUACGCUGUUUGGGGCAGGGACAUUCUAAAAUGGGUGAAAUAAAGCGUGGCUCCGAGGCAGAACAUUUAAGUAGGUAGGGAGAGUGAAUGGUUUAUGAAUGGGAUCAGGUCUGUAAGACCCUAGGGCGAAAUUAGGCUAUAGAUCUAAAGAGCCACAAUAGACCUAACUUUACUGCUUUCAUUUAUUUUUUUGCUCACACCAAUAGCAGUCCAGCUGACAAUCCAGCAAAAGCAAUUAACAGGAAUCCUCACAGCUCUACCAACCUCGUUAAUAUGGAGAAGCCAGCGUGGCUCAUGGGCUGUUUGUCACAGAACGAUGCUCCCUCUCACCUGAAUGGAUGCUGCAUCGCUGUCCUGAUCCCCCUGCCACCAGCACCUUUCCUGUCUCCUUCAGUUUGUUCCUGAGCCAUGGAUGCAGGGACCAGAUUGGCAUGCACAGCAUGUCUCCAGGAUUGACCCACCUGCCUGCUUUGCUCUCCUAUUAAAAUUCCUGUGCCAGAUCCCCAGUGAAGAGAUUGUAGCAGGGUCAGCCUGGCUCCCUGGCCCCCAAUCCUCCAUCCUUCCUAAUGAAGAUGAUGCCUGGUGGGUUCAUUAUUAAGCUGAGCUAAUAAUGCCGGCAGGAGUGUGGCCACGGGGACAAAAACUGCCAGGAUAUUGAGAAUGAUGCGGCACUUAAGGAAAGACAAAGGACCUUGCUCAGGGUCUUUUGUUUUUUGGUCCUUCCCCCACUUACAUAUGAACCCGAGGGACAACAUGUGAAUACAUGUUGGCUGGGCUGUGUCUGUGGGAUGCAUCCCAAAUGGCACCCUAUUACCUUUUGUAAUGCACUACCCAUAGGGUUCUGGUCAAAAGUAGUACACUAAAUAUGGAAUAGGGUGCCAUUUGGGAUGCAUCCGUGAUACUUUAGGGUAGCUCAGGGAAAGAUGAGGCUAUGGGAGUUUUUCUACUAGGGAGGUCUCUAGAUGGCUGUAAGAGGGCAUGUUUACCUCAUUGUCCAAUAUUCCAAUAGUUUGUGACAAAAUCCAUGUGUUCAAUGGCUGCACAUGCAUUAAUCAGGCGCUCACCAGAGGAACCAUUAAUUACACUGGGAUUAUCAUGUAUCUACCCACAGCACACACAUUACGGGUAAAUUACCAUAUAGAUACUUGCUUUUUGUGAGCAAUAAUAGAAUUGCUUAUAACUGCCAGAAGCACAUCCAUUCCAAAUAAGCCCCCCCUCCUUCUCCCCCUUCCCUCCCUAUAGCAGAUGCUCUCAGUAACUGUGCAGGUAUUAUACAGGGUAUUACCAAACCCCUCUGCGGCCUCACCUCGGUCACGGGGACGCCGUGUGUGUCUCUGAUUUGGAUAUUCAUUCCCCACCAUAUGUCUCUCAGGUGUCCUUCCUCUCGGACGCUAUCCUGCAGAGGAUUAAUGCAAAUCAUAAGCCAUAAACAGUCACUCAGGCAUAAGCAAUAAACUGUAAAUAUGGAUCCUGAUCCAACGUUACGUUACUUCCACUUUGGAAGAUGUGAACGCCCCAUUAUCAUGACUGGAGAGCUUCAGAAAAACAAAAUAUGGAAUGCAGUCUCUUUUGGGGUGGGGGCAAACAGCAAGGUUCCGUUUUAGGACCACUAUUGUUUUCACUAUAUAUUUUAACUCUUGGGGAUGUCAUUCGAAAACAUAAUGUUAAAUUUCACUGCUAUGCGGACGACACACAGCUGUACAUUUCAAUGAAACAUGGUGAAGCCCCAAAAUUGCCCUCGCUAGAAGCCUGUGUUUCAGACAAAAAGAAGUGGAUGGCUGCAAACUUUCUACUUUUAAACUCGGACAAAACAGAGAUGCUUGUUCUAGGUCCCAAGAAACAAAGAGAUCUUCUGUUGAAUCUGACAAUUAAUCUGGAUGGUUGUACAGUCGUCUCAAAUAAAACUGUGAAGGA